CUGAGCCAUCCAGGUUGCCCCAUUUGUAUAUCUUUUUAAGGCAGAUUUUCUGGAGAUGUCUGAGGUCACCUGUUGUAGGUCCCAAAGAAUAUUUGAUCAAUAUUUACCGCACAUGUUUGCUUCAAAAAAGGACAUAGUGAUUGGUUGUGAAGUGGAUCUGAAGAACUGUGAAAUGAUCUUAAGGCAUUCUGUGAAGUGUGUGCUUUCUGCUGCUGUUUUCUUGCCAGAGGUCAGAACCAAAUGAGAGAUAAAACAAAACUGGUCAGCUGGAGAACCAAGUAUCACCUUUAUGACUAAUGAAGCUAUUAUCAGACGGCAUGGCAACAACGAGCUUCCAAAUACUGAACCCUGGGAUAAAAUAGAUUUCUGCAUGCAGUCUUGAGCCACGCUGGUUAACUGUGAGAUUUUCCAUUAAAGGGCAUCUUGAGAUGUAUAGAACAGAGAAAAAAUUGAGUUUUCUAGGGGUUAUUAAUCCUAGGAAAA
rnacentral:lncRNA from 1 species